rnacentral:rRNA from 1 species
AACGAACGUUGGCGGCGUGGAUUAGGCAUGCAAGUCAAAUGAAUCCCAUCUGGGUAACUGGGUGGGGGAAAUGGCGAAAGGGGCAGUAAGGCAUGGGCAACCUACCCCGGGGACGGGGAUAGCUCUUCUAACGAGGAGGUAAUACCUGGCGAUUCGGCGAAGAGGCAUCUCUUUGCCGGGAAACGAGUUUCGCCUCGGGAGGGGCUCAUGUAGUAUUAGCUUGUUGGUGAGGUAACGGCUCACCAAGGCAAAGAUGCUUAGCGGGUGUGAGAGCACGACCCGCGCCACUGGCACUGAGACACUGGCCAGACUCCUACGGGAGGCUGCAGUCGAGGAUCUUCGGCAAUGGGGCNCAAGCCUGACCGAGCGACGCCGCGUGUGCGAAGAA